GAUGAAGAACGUCAGCGAAAUGCGAUACGUAAUGUGAAUUGCAGAAUUCAGUGAAUCAUCGAGUCUUUGAACGCACAUUGCGCCCCCUGGUAUUCCGGGGGGCAUGCCUGUCCGAGCGUCAUUGCUGCCCUCAAGCACGGCUUGUGUGUUGGGCCUCCGUCCUCCUCCCGGGGGACGGGCCCGAAAGGCAGCGGCGGCACCGCGUCCGGUCCUCGAGCGUAUGGGGCUUCGUCACCCGCUCUUGUAGGCCCGGCCGGCGCUUGCCGACACAUCAAUCUUUUUUCCAGGUUGACCUCGGAUCAGGUAGGGAUACCCGCUGAACUUAAGCAUAUCAAUAAGCGGAGGA
rnacentral:misc_RNA from 1 species